UCUUCUGGAGAAAAGAGAUUGUAGAUUAGAUAGAAUACGUGCUAUAUUGAAAGAAAUUAACAGAUCCCUUUUGGAUAUUGCAUCGGCAUAUAGGAUGAGAAUAUUCACGAGGAUAAAGUCAGAUGGUAAAGAAGAGUGUUGAAAUGCGUAAACUUAAUGAGCAUCCUGAGCAGAAGUAAGUGAUCUCUCAGCUCAAGUCUUUGAUGAGGAGUACUCUCUGAUUGGUAGUGCAAGUGAUAUCUUCAGUUACGAACUGGUGAUCUAUCUACGAAACUGGUGCUUUGUUGGUGCUUUUGCAUAUCUUCGCAAUGGAUCUCAAGAUUAGUGAAUUUGGUAUGCGAGUGGGAUAUCACCCUACUGACGGAAACCAUUGAGCUCUCCGUGGAAUAUAAUGAUUUCGUUGGAAUUUCCUGCAUGCACUGUUGACCCUCCGCAAGAUCGCCGAACAACACAGUUUAUCCAAAAAAUGCAUUAUAUUUAUGUCGUGAUUCCAAACUUCUGCACUGUUUUGAGGAACUUGGGGGGCUCGGUAACAGUUUAAGGACUGUUUGGGUCUGUCAUUUUAUAUGAUAAAUUUGUAGAGCAACCGAUAAGUCAAGAGCUUCAUCAUCAUCUCUAUAAUCUUCGCCCUUGUCUCCUCUGUGACACCUCGUCUUCUUCAUUGCUCUCUUAGACCACUACUUCAUCUUGUCGACUAACCUCUUCAACUAUCGCAUCUUCAGUACUUGCCUCCUGCAUCAUUUCGGGAUUGGUUUGCGAAUUAUCGCAUCUUGCGGAACGAUUUUUGCAAAAGAAUCUGUGGAAGAGAUUAACAAGGAAGCGGUAUUCCAAAGGCUGAAGCGUCCUUAAUUCUCAGCCUGCCUUGGAGAAUUUCCUGAAGAGGUGUCAGCAUGAUUGCCUCAUCGGUAGUGCUGCGUUUUCUGCCUUUUGUUUGUUUUUCUCCAUUUCUGCAUAAAUAAAUGAAAUAGAAUGUU